UGGGCUUGACAUCCUGUGGAUUCCAUAGACAUAUGUAUGUAGACUCCCCGGGAUGCCCGGAC
rnacentral:rRNA from 1 species